rfam:Rattus norvegicus chromosome 3, whole genome shotgun sequence.
GGGGAUUUAGCUCAGUGGUAGAGCGCUUGCCUAGCAAGCACAAGGCCCUGGGUUCAGUUCCCAGCUCCA